UACGGGAGGCAGCAGUGGGGAAUAUUGCACAAUGGGCGAAAGCCUGAUGCAGCUAUGCCGCGUGUAUGAAGAAGGCCUUAGGGUUGUAAAGUACUUUCAUCGGGGAGGAAAAAACAAAACUAAUAAUUUUAUUUCUUGACGUUACCCGAAAAAGAAGCACCGGCUAACUCCGUGCCAGCAGCCGCGGUAAUACGGAGGGUGCUAGCGUUAAUCAGAAUUACUGGGCGUAAAGAGCACGUAGGUGGUUUUUUAAGUUCAGAUGUGAAAUCCCUGGGCUUAACCUAGGAACUGCAUUUUGAAACUGAAAUACUAGAGUAUCGUAGAGGGAGGUAGAAUUCUAGGUGUAGCGGUGAAAUGCGUAGAUAUCUGGAGGAAUACCUGUGGCGAAAGCGGCCUCCUAAACGAAUACUGACACUGAGGUGCGAAAGCGUGGGGAGCAAACAGGGAUUAGAUACC
rnacentral:rRNA from 1 species